GACGAACGCUGGCGGCGUGCUUAACACAUGCAAGUCGAACGGAAAUGCCCUGCUUUUGUGGGGUGCUCGAGUGGCGAACGGGUGAGUAACACGUGAGUAACCUGCCCUUGACUUUGGGAUAACUUCAGGAAACUGGGGCUAAUACCGGAUAGGAGCUCCUGCUGCAUGGUGGGGGUUGGAAAGUUUCGGCGGUUGGGGAUGGACUCGCGGCUUAUCAGCUUGUUGGUGGGGUAGUGGCUUACCAAGGCUUUGACGGGUAGCCGGCCUGAGAGGGUGACCGGCCACAUUGGGACUGAGAUACGGCCCAGACUCCUACGGGAGGCAGCAGUGGGGAAUAUUGCACAAUGGGCGGAAGACUGAUGCAGCAACGCCGCGUGCGGGAUGACGGCCUUCGGGUUGUAAACCGCUUUCGCCUGUGACGAAGCGUGAGUGACGGUAAUGGGUAAAGAAGCACCGGCUAACUACGUG
rnacentral:rRNA from 1 species